GAGGGUACAGCUCAGUGGCAGAGUGCAUGCUUAGCAUGCAUGAGUUCCUGGGUUCAAUCCCCAGUGCCUCCA
rnacentral:tRNA from 1 species